rnacentral:rRNA from 1 species
GAUGAACGCUAGCUACAGGCUUAACACAUGCAAGUCGAGGGGCAUCACAGUGUAGCAAUACACGGGUGGCGACCGGCGCACGGGUGCGUAACACGUAUCCAAUCUGCCCGUUACUCGGGGAUAGCCUUCUGAAAGGAAGAUUAAUACCCGAUGGCAUGUAUUUCCGGCAUCGGAGAUACAUUAAAGAUUUAUCGGUAACGGAUGAGGAUGCGUACGAUUAGCUUGUUGGCGGGGUAACGGCCCACCAAGGCUACGAUCGUUAGGGGUUCUGAGAGGAAGGUCCCCCCACACUGGAACUGAGACACGGUCCAGACUCCUACGGGAGGCAGCAGUGAGGAAUAUUGGUCAAUGGUCAGACGACUGAACCAGCCAUGCCGCGUGAAGGUGACGGCCCUAUGGGUCUUAAACUUCUUUUGUAAGGGAGCAAUAAGGGUCACGUGUGGCCUGAUGAGAGUACCUUACGAAUAAGCAUCGGCUAACUCCGUGCCAGCAG